rnacentral:rRNA from 1 species
UUUUGGACAAUGGGGGCAACCCUGAUCCUGCCAUGCCGCGUGAGUGAAGAAGGCCUUCGGGUUGUAAAGCUCUUUCGGACGGAACGAAAUGGGCGGGACUAAUACUCCUGUCUGAUGACGGUACCGUAAGAAGAAGCACCGGCUAACUACGUGCCAGCAGCCGCGGUAAUACGUAGGGUGCGAGCGUUAAUCGGAUUCACUGGGCGUACAGGGAGCGUAGGCGGUUGGGUAAGCCCUCCGUGAAAUCUCCGGGCCUAACCCGGAAAGUGCAGAGGGGACUGCUCAGCUAGAGGAUGGGAGAGGAGCGCGGAAUUCCCGGUGUAGCGGUGAAAUGCGUAGAGAUCGGGAGGAAGGCCGGUGGCGAAGGCGGCGCUCUGGAACAUUCUGACGCUGAGGCUCGAAA